GAAAAUUGCAGCUGUUUUAGAAUGUGUCAAGCAGGUUUUCCGGUUUUUACUGGAAUUCUUCA
rnacentral:snRNA from 1 species